rnacentral:rRNA from 1 species
UACGUAGGGCGCAAGCGUUAUCCGGAAUUAUUGGGCGUAAAGAGCUCGUAGGUGGCGGGUCACGUCGGGUGUGAAAGCCCGGGGCUUAACUCCGGGUCUGCAUUCGAUACGGGUCUGCUGGGGUCCGGCAGGGGAGACUGGAAUUCCUGGUGUAGCGGUGAAAUGCGCAGAUAUCAGGAGGAACACCGGUGGCGAAGGCGGGUCUCUGGGCCGGUACCGACGCUGAGGAGCGAAAGCGUGGGGAGCGAACAGG